GAGCUGGGCUGAGCUGGGCUGAGCUGGGCUGGGCUGAGCUGAACUGGGCUGGGCUGAACUGGACUGGGCUGGGCUGAG
rnacentral:miRNA from 1 species